GUGAGGAAUAUUGGUCAAUGGGCGGGAGCCUGAACCAGCCAAGUCGCGUGAAGGAAGAAGGAUCUAUGGUUCGUAAACUUCUUUUGCAGGGGAAUAAAGUGCAGGACGUGUCCUGUUUUGUAUGUACCCUGAGAAUAAGGAUCGGCUAACUCCGUGCCAGCAGCCGCGGUAAUACGGAGGAUCCGAGCGUUAUCCGGAUUUAUUGGGUUUAAAGGGUGCGUAGGUGGAUUGAUAAGUCAGCGGUGAAAGUUUGCAGCUUAACUGUAAAAUUGCCGUUGAAACUGUCGGUCUUGAGUGCAAAUGAGGUAGGCGGAAUGUGUUGUGUAGCGGUGAAAUGCUUAGAUAUCACGCAGAACUCCGAUUGCGAAGGCAGCUUACUAAGCUACAACUGACACUGAAGCACGAAAGCGUGGGGAUCAAACAGGAUUAGAUACCCUGGUAGUCC
rnacentral:rRNA from 1 species